rnacentral:rRNA from 2 species
CACCGCGGUUAUACGAGAGGCCCAAGUUGACAGAAUUCGGCGUAAAGAGUGGUUAAUGAAUAUUAUACUAAAGCCGAACACCCUCAAGACUGUUAUACGUGUUCGAGGGCAGGAAGCCCUUCAACGAAAGUGGCUUUAAUAAGCAUGAACCCACGAAAGCUAGGGCA